UUACCCCCUAGUUCGUUACUUUAUGUGUAGUUUUGUGUUGUGUGGUGUUGUAGGACCACACACACACUCAUACACUCUCUUUCUCUCCCGGGAUUCCCUCACUCUCUGUCUCUUCUCUGUCUCUUUCCUCUCUCUCUCCCCGAGCUCCCUUCUUCUUCUUUCUUCUUCCUUCUGAAAACGUACGGACAACACACACAUCACCCAAACCUUGAUGGAUCGAAGGAACCAAGGGCAUUUUUGAACUCGUGAAGCUCGUACGAGUGCAACCAUACCAUUUUCAGGACUUUUCAAGCUUAUAGGAAGCUUCUUGAGGUCCUAAGGAGGCUUGGAGUAGUUCGUUGGAAGUUUUUGGACGUAAGAACACGGAGAACGACAAGCUCAAAGUUUGGCCGGAGCUUUCGAGGCUUUUUCCGGCGAAUCCACGGCGAGUUAGGGGUCGAGACAGAAAUUCCGGCAAAAACCCACCGCCGGCGAAACCAGUCCGGCGACGCGAGGAAGAAGACGC